rnacentral:rRNA from 1 species
UACGUAGGGUCCGAGCGUUGUCCGGAAUUAUUGGGCGUAAAGGGCUCGUAGGCGGUCUGUUGCGUCGGGAGUGAAAACUCAGGGCUUAACUGGGGGCGUGCGGGCGAUACGGGCAGACUGGAGUACUGCAGGGGAGACUGGAAUUCCUGGUGUAGCGGUGGAAUGCGCAGAUAUCAGGAGGAACACCGGUGGCGAAGGCGGGGUCUCUGGG